UUAGUGGCGGACGGGUGAGUAACGCGUGGAUAACCUGCCGUAUACCGGGGGAUAACACUUAGAAAUAGGUGCUAAUACCGCAUAAGCGCACGGCUCCGCAUGGGGCAGUGUGAAAAACUACCGGUGGUAUACGAUGGAUCCGCGUCUGAUUAGCUAGUUGGCGGGGUAACGGCCCACCAAGGCAGCGAUCAGUAGCCGGCCUGAGAGGGUGGACGGCCACAUUGGGACUGAGACACGGCCCAAACUCCUACGGAAGGCAGCAG
rnacentral:rRNA from 1 species